rnacentral:rRNA from 1 species
UACGUAGGGUGCGCGCGUUAAUCGGAAUUACUGGGCGUAAAGCGUGCGCAGGCGGUUUUGUAAGUCAGAUGGGAAAUCCCCGGGCUUAACCUGGGAAUGGCAUUUGGGACUGCAAGGCUGGAGUGUGGCAGAGGAGACUGGAAUUCCUGGUGUAGCAGUGAAAUGCGUAGAUAUCAGGAGGAAUACCGAUGGCGAAGGCAGGUCUCUGGGCUAACACUGACGCUCAUGCACGAAAGCGUGGGGAGCAAACAGG